CCUACGGGAGGCAGCAGUGGGGAAUAUUGGACAAUGGGGGCAACCCUGAUCCAGCCAUUCCGCGUGUGUGAAGAAGGCCCUCGGGUUGUAAAGCACUUUCAGUGAGGAAGAACGCCUGGUGGUUAAUACCCAUCAGGAAAGACAUCACUCACAGAAGAAGCACCGGCUAACUCCGUGCCAGCAGCCGCGGUAAUACGGAGGGUGCGAGCGUUAAUCGGAAUUACUGGGCGUAAAGCGCGCGUAGGUGGCUUGAUAAGCCGGUUGUGAAAGCCCCGGGCUCAACCUGGGAACGGCAUCCGGAACUGUCAAGCUAGAGUGCAGGAGAGGAAGGUAGAAUUCCCGGUGUAGCGGUGAAAUGCGUAGAGAUCGGGAGGAAUACCAGUGGCGAAGGCGGCCUUCUGGACUGACACUGACACUGAGGUGCGAAAGCGUGGGUAGCAAACAGGAUUAGAUACCCUAGUAGUC
rnacentral:rRNA from 1 species